rnacentral:rRNA from 1 species
UACGACGGGGGCUAGCGUUGCUCGGAAUCACUGGGCGUAAAGCGCACGUAGGCGGCUUUCUAAGUCAGGGGUGAAAUCCUGGAGCUCAACUCCAGAACUGCCCUUGAUACUGGAGAGCUUGAGUUCGGGAGAGGUGAGUGGAACUGCGAGUGUAGAGGUGAAAUUCGUAGAUAUUCGCAAGAACACCAGUGGCGAAGGCGGCUCACUGGCCCGAUACUGACGCUGAGGUGCGAAAGCGUGGGGAGCAAACAGG